GAUGAACGCUAGCUACAGGCUUAACACAUGCAAGUCGAGGGACCGGCGCACGGGAGAGUAACACGUAUCCAACCUGCCCUUUACUCGGGGAUAGCCUUUCGCAAGAAAGAUUAAUACCCGAUAUAAUGGAUGGGGAUGCGUUACAUUAGGUUGUUGGUGAGGGAACGGCUAACCAAGCCUUCGAUGGAUAGGGGUGCUGAGAGGAAGGUCCCCCGCAAUGGAGCUGAGACACGGUCCAAACUGGUACGGAGGGCAGGAGUGAGGAAUAUUAGGCAAGGAGCGCUAGCCUGAACCAGCCAAGUAGCGUGAAGAAUGAAGGCUUAUGAGUCGUAAACUUCUUGUAUAUAAGAAUAUGUAUUAUAUGAAUAAGGAUCGGCUAACUCCGUGCCAGCAGCCGCGGUAAUUC
rnacentral:rRNA from 1 species